UAAUCAAACCUUAGAAUAAAAAACCUCUAGCAAAACCAAAACCUAAACAUUCUACUCUAUCUCCUACAAAACCUUAACCAUAAUCGUGCAAAACAAAAACCCUUCUAACAAAACCCCCAAAUUCAAUCUCCCGCAAAAUCUAGACUAUAAUCGCGCACCACCACCAGAUCACCGCCGCACAAAUGUACCGCCACCGCGCUACUGUUCCGCUGCUUCUUUUCAACCUCUGGUGACCAUCGCCUCUCCACACUCCGAAUUUCGAGGGUUGAAGGAACACAGACUUUUUCAAACCAUGAGGAACCCGGAUGAUGAGAUCUUGACCUGAGAAAUAUCUAGUUCAUGCAAUUCUCUAAUUGGUGGUAUGGCAUAUGGUGGCUAUGCUAGGAAGCGUGACUCUCUACUCAGGUACAAAGGUGUGAAGACUCUAGACCUCUAAAAAUUGAGUUGAGAGGAAAAUGAACAGUGUGAUUCGGAUGCAUACUGUUUGUGCUAGAGCUUUUGGACCUGAUAGAGGAAGGUUUAAUUACAAGUUCAAUGAAAGAAAUACCGAGAAAAUUAUAGGCAGAAUCAGCCACCUGCAGAUGAAUCUUCACACCUCACACCUGCAUCAAUAAACCUGCGUAUUUUAUCAAAGCUCCCACGUAUUCUCAAACUACGAUUGACGAGCUAAGGGAGAGGUGGAUCUCAUACGUUAGCGAAUAUCACCGACCAAAUAAUGAUGAAGAGGAAGAUCAUGAUGACGAUGAUCUAUUGUGACUUAAGCUAGCUCAAGGAGAUGGUUACCUCAGUUCAGUCCUGCAGAUGAACCAAGUCUGGUUUCUGUUGUUGCUGCAGAAGCUGUUGUUGCUACAUAAUCUGUUCUUGCUGCAGAAUCUGUUUUUUUUUGUAGUGAUAUUGGAUUUUUUUUUUGAUGUACCUUGGAUCAUUUAUAUUUUAUCAAUGAUUAAUAGGAUUGUUAUUGAAUAAACAAUAUUAUUUCGUUAUUUAAUGAAAGGAUUUUUGGACA